GAGCCAGUGUUUGCAGGUGACUACUUUAUGAAAAGCAGCAAGCAGAAGAAAGCCUAUGGUUAAAAGAAACAAUCACAAUGCUGCUCAAGGACCACAACAUUUUACAAGUUCAGUUGUAUCAAAAAAUCAAAAUCAGGGACUUUUUGAUGAUUAUAAGACGGAGUGUGAUGAAAGCACAAACGAUGACAGCAAGGAAGUUUUUCAAGAUCGUUCAAUUUUUGAGAAUUCAAAUCUGGGAGACAUACUAGAUAUUGUUGGGGCUGCUGAUAAACAAAUACCUCAACCAUCAUUUGUAUUUGACAAACCCAAAAAAAUAAGGUCGCUUGUUUUUGAGGACAACAUGAUUGUUCAGAUCAAGAUGACAAUGAUGAAGAGGAUCAGUUCAGAUUUACUACCCCUAUUCAGUCUAUAGUUCUCAUGGAAGGGUCACAACAAUCACAGUUUGAGUUGGAUGAUUCUCUGAUGUCAAGUCUCAGUAACAUAAAAAGUAUUUGUGUUACUGAGAAUACAAUUAAUGCAGAGCAGAGCAUCAUCAUGCACAUUCAAACCACAAGCAAUGACAACUCAAAUAUGCAAAAACAAGCUAGCAUGGAGAGUCAGAACAAAAUAAGUCAUGUUCAC
rnacentral:misc_RNA from 1 species